rnacentral:rRNA from 1 species
UACGUAGGGGGGCAAGCGUUGUCCGGAAUCAUUGGGCGUAAAGCGCGCGUAGGCGGCCCGGUAAGUCCGCUGUAAAAGUCAAAGGCUCAACCUUUGAAAGCCGGUGGAUACUGGAUGGCUAGAGUACGGAAGAGGCGAGUGGAAUUCCUGGUGUAGCGGUGAAAUGCGCAGAUAUCAGGAGGAACACCGAUUGCGAAGGCAGCUCGCUGGGACGUAACUGACGCUGAGACGCGAAAGCGUGGGGAGCAAACAGG